AACCCAUAAUGAAGGCACCUUCUCAGAAGAUCCAUAAAUCUCUCCCAUGCAUCAUACAAUGUCUCAAACUCGAGUUGAGCAAAAGAAGAGAUGUCAUUCUCAACUU
rnacentral:snoRNA from 1 species